rnacentral:rRNA from 1 species
UCCGGAGGGUGCAAUCGUUAUCCGGAAUCACUGGGUUUAAAGGGUGCGUAGGCGGCUUGAUAAGUCAGGGGUGAAAGCCCGCAGCUUAACUGCGGAACUGCCUUUGAUACUGUCGAGCUUGAAAGAGGUUGAGGUCAGCGGAACGUGACAUGUAGCGGUGAAAUGCAUAGAUAUGUCACAGAACACCGAUUGCGAAGGCAGCUGGCUGGACCUACUUUGACGCUGAGGCACGAAAGCGUGGGGAGCGAACAGG